rnacentral:rRNA from 1 species
UACGUAGGGUGCAAGCGUUGUCCGGAAUUAUUGGGCGUAAAGAGCUCGUAGGCGGUUUGUCGCGUCUGCUGUGAAAACCCGAGGCUCAACCUCGGGCCUGCAGUGGGUACGGGCAGACUAGAGUGCGGUAGGGGAGAUUGGAAUUCCUGGUGUAGCGGUGGAAUGCGCAGAUAUCAGGAGGAACACCGGUGGCGAAGGCAGAUCUCUGGGCCGUAACUGACGCUGAGGAGCGAAAGCAUGGGGAGCGAACAGG